rnacentral:rRNA from 1 species
CCUACGGGUGGCAGCAGUGAGGAAUAUUGGUCAAUGGGCGGGAGCCUGAACCAGCCAAGUCGCGUGAGGGAAGACGGUCCUACGGAUUGUAAACCUCUUUUGCCGGGGAGCAACGGGGUCCUUGCGAGGGCCCGAUGAGAGUACCCGGAGAAAAAGCAUCGGCUAACUCCGUGCCAGCAGCCGCGGUAAUACGGAGGAUGCGAGCGUUAUCCGGAUUUAUUGGGUUUAAAGGGUGCGUAGGCGGGCUGUUAAGUCAGCGGUCAAAUCGUGGGGCUCAACCCCAUCCAGCCGUUGAAACUGGGGAUCUAGAGUGUGCGAGAGGUAUGCGGAAUGCGUGGUGUAGCGGUGAAAUGCAUAGAUAUCACGCAGAACCCCGAUUGCGAAGGCAGCAUACCGGUGCACAACUGACGCUCAGGCACGAAAGCGUGGGUAUCGAACAGGAUUAGAUACCCCAGUAGUC